AAUCAACGCUGGCGGCGUGCCUCAGACAUGCAAGUCGAACGAUUAAAGCUCUCUUCGGAGAGUGUAUAGAGUGGCGCACGGGUGAGUAACACGUAAGUAAUCUACCCUCGGGUGGGGAAUAACAUCGGGAAACCGAUGCUAAUACCGCAUAAUGCAGCGGCUCCUAAUGGAGACAGUUGUUAAAGGAUUUAUUCGCCUGGGGAGGAGCUUGCGGCAGAUUAGCAGUUGGUAAGGUAAUGGCUUACCAAGGCUACGAUCUGUAGCCGGUCUAAGAGGACGGUCGGUCACACUGACACUGAAUAACGGGUCAGACUCCUACGGGAGGCAGCAGUCGGGAAUUUUGGGCAAUGGGCGAAAGCCUGACCCAGCAACGCCGCGUGAAGGA
rnacentral:rRNA from 1 species